rnacentral:rRNA from 1 species
UACGGUAGGUGGCGAGCGUUGUCCGGAUUUACUGGGCGUAAAGAGCGCGCAGGCGGUCGAUUUAGUCGUGUGUGAAAGCCCCCGGCUCAACUGGGGAGGGUCAUUCGAUACUGAUCGACUCGAAGGCAGGAGAGGGUAGUGGAAUUCCCGGUGUAGUGGUGAAAUGCGUAGAUAUCGGGAGGAACACCAGUGGCGAAGGCGACUACCUGGCCUGUUCUUGACGCUGAGGCGCGAAAGCUAGGG